AUAAAUAUCUUUGAAAAUAAUAAUACAAAGAAGAUUAACAUGACUCCAGUGCAAGGAUGACACACAAACCUGUGACGUGUUUCACAACUUU
rnacentral:snRNA from 1 species